GAUGAACGCUGGCGGCGUGCCUAAUACAUGCAAGUCGAGCGAACAGACGAGGAGCUUGCUCCUCUGACGUUAGCGGCGGACGGGUGAGUAACACGUGGAUAACCUACCUAUAAGACUGGGAUAACUUCGGGAAACCGGAGCUAAUACCGGAUAAUAUAUUGAACCGCAUGGUUCAAUAGUGAAAGACGGUUUUGCUGUCACUUAUAGAUGGAUCCGCGCCGCAUUAGCUAGUUGGUAAGGUAACGGCUUACCAAGGCAACGAUGCGUAGCCGACCUGAGAGGGUGAUCGGCCACACUGGAACUGAGACACGGUCCAGACUCCUACGGGAGGCAGCAGUAGGGAAUUUUGCGCAAUGGGCGAAAGCUUGACGGAGCAACGCCGCGUGAGUGAUGAAGGUCUUCGGAUCGUAAAGCUCUGUUAUUAGGGAAGAACAAAUGUGUAAGUAACUAUGCACGUCUUGACGGUACCUAAUCAGAAAGCCACGGCUAACUACGUG
rnacentral:rRNA from 1 species